GACGAACGCUGGCGGCGUGCCUAAUACAUGCAAGUAGGACGCAGUUGCGAACGGGUGAGUAACGCGUAGUUAACUACCUAUUAUACGGGGAUAACUAUUGGAAACGAUAGCUAAUACCGCAUACUAGUAGAUGGACCUGCGUUGUAUUAGCUAGUAGGUAGGGUAAUGGCCUACCCAGGCAACGAUACAUAGCCGACGCGGGGGGGAGAUCGGCUAAACUGGGAAUGGGACAAGGGCCAGAAGCCGAAGGGAGGCAGCCGUAGGGGAUCUUCGGACAAGGGGGGAAAGCUGAACGAGCAAAGCCGCGGGGGUUGAGAAGGUUUUCGGAUCGUAAAGCUCUGUUGUUAAGGAAGCGGUACCUAAACAGAAAGGGACGGCUAACUACGUGCCAGCAGCCGCGGUAAUAC
rnacentral:rRNA from 1 species